UGGGGGAUUUUGCACAAUGGGCGCAAGCCUGAUGCAGCGACGCCGCGUGAGGGAUGAAGGCCUUCGGGUUGUAAACCUCUUUCGCUGGGUUGAAAGGCCAUGCUUUGGGUGUGGUUGAUUUGAACUGGUAAAGAAGUACCGGCUAACUACGUGCCAGCAGCCGCGGUAAUACGUAGGGUACUAGCGUUGUCCGGAUUUAUUGGGCGUAAAGGGCUUGUAGGUGGUUUGUCGCGUCUGUCGUGAAAUCCUGUGGCUUAACCAUGGGCUUGCGGUGGGUACGGGCAGGCUUGAGUGCGGUAGGGGAGACUGGAAUUCCUGGUGUAGCGGUGGAAUGCGAAGAUAUCAGGAGGAACACCGGUGGCGAAGGCGGGUCUCUGGGCCGUUACUGACACUGAGGAGCGAAAGCGUGGGGAGCGAACAGG
rnacentral:rRNA from 1 species